rnacentral:rRNA from 1 species
GGUAGCAAUACCUGGUGGCGACCGGCGCACAGGUGCGUAACACGUAUAUAAUCUGCCUUUAACUGGGGGAUAGCCCGGAGAAAUCCGGAUUAAUACCCCAUAAUAUAUUGGAUGGCAUCAUUCGAUAUUGAAAGCUCCGGCGGUUAGAGAUGAGUAUGCGUCUGAUUAGUUAGUUGGUGAGGUAACGGCUCACCAAGACUUCGAUCAGUAGGGGAUCUGAGAGGAUUAACCCCCACACGGAUACUGAGACACGGAUCCGACUCCUACGGGAGGCAGCAGUAAGGAAUAUUGGACAAUGCCCGCAAGGGUGAUCCAGCCAUGCCGCGUGCAGGAAGACGGCCCUAUGGGUUGUAAACUGCUUUUACACCGGAGAAAACCCCUUCUCGUGAGGAGGGCUGAUAGUAUGGUGAGAAUAAGCAUCGGCUAACUUCGUGCCAGCAGCCGCGGUAAGACGAANGAUGCAAGCGUUAUCCGGAUUCAUUGGGUUUAAAGGGAGCGUAGGUGGCCUUAUAAGUCAGUGGUGAAAUCCUGCAGCUUAACUGUAGAAUUGCCAUUGAUACUGUCAGGGCUUGAGUGUAGUUGCCGUUGGCGGAAUAUGACAUGUAGUGGUGAAAUACAUAGAGAUGUCAUAGAACACCGAUUGCGAAGGCAGCUGACGAAACUAUAACUGACACUGAGGCUCGAAAGUGUGGGGAUCAAACAGGAUUAGAUACCCUGGUAGUCCACACUGUAAACGAUGAUUACUCGCUGCUAGAGGGUAACUUUUAGUGGCCAAGCGAAAGCGAUAAGUAAUCCACCUGGGGAGUACGCCGGCAACGGUGAAACUCAAAGGAAUUGACGGGGGCCCGCACAAGCGGAGGAGCAUGUGGUUUAAUUCGAUGAUACGCGAGGAACCUUACCAGGGCUUGAAAGUUAGUGACCGCUCCUGAAAGGGAGCUUCCCNGCAAGGGCACAAAACUAGGUGCUGCAUGGCUGUCGUCAGCUCGUGCCCCCGAGGUGUUGGGUUUAAGUUCCCGCCAACGAGCCGCAACCCCUACCAUUANUUGCCAGCGGUUCCGNCCGGGGAUUCUAAAUGGAACUGCCCCCCCAAGCCGAAANGAANGUGGGGAUGACUCCAGUCCUCCCGGCCCUUACUCCUGGGCUACCCACU